AGUAUUUUGAUAUCAUUUCAACCACACAUUUUUCAAUAAAAUAAUAUUAUACGCAAAUCCAAAAAUUUUCCUUAUUUUUUAACCACACAUUUUCCAUCAAUAAACUAUUCAAAAUUCAUUCUUUCCACAAAAUGGGGCUCAAACAAACGGCCAAGUUAGGAUUCGAGGUAUUCUCACUCUGAGGAUAACAAUAAUCAUACGAAAAUUGAUAUAUAAGUAUGCUAUGUAUGAAGUUAUAUUACCAUUGUCCCAAAUACAAAAAGAUCACCUUCUCCUGUUCAAUAUCUGCUUCAAAACAUCUCUUCCAUGUGGUGCAGAGUUUACUCUUUUGAUUAGUUUCUUUACUUUGAGCACAUAAGAGUUACAACAUGAACCUAUAAAAGAUAUUUGUGGGCAUAUCAAAUGUUGUUAUUGUAGAGUAAAAUAAUUGAUUUAUAGUUUUGCUAGCUUAGUGCUCCAAAAGAUCACAAGGUUCAUCGAUCAAAUACAAAAAACACUCUGUCUGUGAAUAAGGUGGUUUCCAAAUUAAAUCUUAGAUUGAAGCAAACCUUCAUUACAUGCUUCCAACUUCUCCAUUUUUUCCUAAAGACUACUAAGUCCAAGGUUCAAAUCCAGGUAAGCCUCAAACUUCUCCUAAAAUAACACAUGCAUACUGUAACACUUUUAUUUAACCUUACAAAGACUGAUCAGAAAAAUAUUGAGCACAAGAAGAAAUUACCUCGACCAACUUCAACCUUUUUAUUUAACCAAAAUAAGCAAAGUAAAUUAUGAUGAUAUACUUAUGAAUGAAUGUCUUAAUCUUCAAUUUUAAUAGAAGGUAUAUUAAAAAAAAAAAAAAAAAAAAAUCUUCCAAAGUUAAAGACUCAUUUCAGGAUGAAUCCAUUUCCUGAAGUUUCAUUUUUGUUAGUUUAGUGAUUUUCC
rnacentral:lncRNA from 1 species